UGAUCCUCUUCUCCCCUGUCAAAGUUAAGCGCAUAGCUCGACGGAUCAUAAUGAAAAUCAGUCGUGUGGCGUCUAAUGUGCUUACCGUGUCCGCCUUCCCCGAUCCGGUGGAUCAGAUUUUUGCAUUUUUCGUGUGAUUUGGACAAGGUUCGAGUGAGUCUAGGAGAUUUGGUCUUGAAUUAAUUGCUUUUGGGAAAUAAAUUAAUUGUUAGAAUUUUUUAAAAAAUAUUCAUUUGUAUUUGAAAUUAAAAAAAAAUAUUAAAAUAUAUCCAAUAUAUUAAAUUAGACUCAUAUUUUGGACUUCAUAUAUUAUAUUAUAAUUUUGAACUAUCAAACACGAGUUCAUCUAAAUCAUCUAAAUUUUAUUAUAAAAAAAUAUUUAUAAAAGAUCUCAAACCAUUUAAAACUGGAUGGAAAAUUAAGAUUAGGAUUAGUAGUUCAAGAUGAAUAAUUUAGAGUUAGAGUUGGUAUCGACUUCUGGCUGACAUUUCAUAUACGAGGACUUAUAUUCGGUUUUCAGAUCCCAAUGACAACUUACGGUACUUCUAGAAAAUAGAAAAGACGAACUCAAACAAUCUAUAGAACAAAAUAAAUGUUUAAAAUAAAAUUUAGCCACGCAUGACACUGAUUCUAUUCUAGUUUCCUUGUUGAAUGAGAUAUUCAGAUUUUAUGUUUGUUUUCUACUUUCACUAACCUCACUUGAGCAUAACUAAGCAUUCAUUGCAUUGCUCACAUAUAGUAAUCCUCCACAAUCAUGCUUGUACUCUCAACCAUUAUUAUUUAAUCCUACUCAAGUUUUUCAUCAGCUGGUAGCUUAAGAUUAAGAGCUUAUGGGGGUUCUGACUUGUUCUCUGGAAUUAACCUUCUAGUGGAAGACGCAUGGUUGUAAAUUUGAAAUAAUCUAUCUUCAAAGAAUGUAAUUGUCUUUUUACAAAAAAAAAAAGAAUGUAAUUGUCAUAUGUAACAACUUUAGUGAAGAAAAAAACAACUUUAGUGAAGAAAAAAAAUAUAGUGAAUAUCCAGCCAUAUACGCAUUUUUAAAACUACUUAUAAAUAUAGAAAAUACUUGAGAUUAUCCAUAAAUAAAGUAAGUUUGUUUUUCUUUUUUGCUAAAUGAUAAAUAAAGUAAGUUACAAAAAAAAGAAUGUAAUUGUCAAAAAAGUGGGACGAAAACCACCAACGGGAAAUGACUGUUUGCGGUUUGAGUAAUCGUGUUCAGGGUCUUUCUGUACAGUUUCUGCGUUUUCAAAGAAGCCAAAGAACAGUAGAGCUUGGGAACAAAAAAAAUCGUUGCUAUGUGGGCAACGGAAAGUAAAGGAACACAUGUUCCCUUAUUACAAAGUUUGAGUUGCGGAGCUGAUUAGAACAUGUUGCUAACCGGAGCAGGUCUCCUGUUCAAAACAGACUACGAACGUACACGUACUGAUAAGCCGCGUGAAGUUCUCCAUACCAUUAGAUUAUGAGUUAUUACUACAAAGACGUUUUUACUCAAGUUACAUAAGAGAGAGAUAAGAUAUCAAUCAAAAGUUUUUGAAACCCGCUGAAACUGAUAAAAAUAAAAUACGUUAUGUACAAAUUUGUUUUUCUUAGGCCUACGAUAUCAUUGCUCAGUUCUCGUAAGUUUUUCUUUCUUGAAAGUUUUUCUUUCUUGAAACAUAAAAGAAUCCACAAUUUUGGAAGAACAAAAACGACACAACGAAAUAAAAAAAUCUGAGUCAAACAAUGAUCACCGCAAAAGGUUAUGAAUAGUGAACGACGAUUCUGUCGCCGUGGUGGAGGAAGGCGGUGAACGAGGCAGCCUAGAGGAGAAAUUGUAACGUGGAAAACGAUUAACAUUUUGAUCCUCUUCUCCCCUGUCAAAGUUAAGCGCAUAGCUCGACGGAUCAUAAUGAAAAUCAGUCGUGUGGCGUCUAAUGUGCUUACCGUGUCCGCCUUCCCCGAUCCGGUGGAUCAGAUUUUUGCAUUUUUCGUGUGAUUUGGACAAGGUUCGAGUGAGUCUAGGAGAUUUGGUCUUGAUGGGGCUUUGUGUAGAUGUCUCAUUUGGAGUUGUCGGAGAUGGUGGUUGUUCAGGGAGACUUUGGGGAUGGUUGGUCGUUCGGAAACACCCGGCGAUGGAAAAAGUUGAUUUGAGUUUCUUUGUAAAAGACAUGCGAUGAUGGUUCAUUGAUUCGCUCAUUGUUUUUUUUUUUUAGUUUGGCUUAUGAUCUAUUCAAAGAGAAUAGAAUGAGAAAGGAGAGACAUUGAAACACAGCCAAAAGAAAAGAAGCAAAUGUUAAAAGAAGAACAAAUCAAAUGUUAAACUAAAACUUCGGAGAAGAAGUUGAAAAUUUACUAUUUUACGGGUAUUAAAGUUUCCAAUUAAAAUGAGGUUUAUUUUUUGUUUGAAUUCGAAUAUUACAUUUGUUAGUUGUGAGCAAGGGAAUAUUUGGGAUUAAACUUUUUGAAAUGUAUCCUUUAAUGUUAUGGAAUUGGUGGAUGAUUUCGCAAUCAUUUCAUAAGACUAGAUUUUUCAUAGAUUUUAUUUUAUUAACUUCUUAUUAUUAUAGAAUUUGUAUUUGAGUUUAUAACACAUUUAUUGUGUGCAUAUGUUAAAAAUCCAUAUGCUAAGAUGAACCUAAAAUUCGAUAUAAAUGUGUAUACCAAUAUGAAUUAUUUAUUUUGUCUAAAAAAUAAUUUUGAAAAUAUAGACAUGUAUAGAGAUCUUUACUCAUAGAUAGUCUGUUAAGUUAGGAAAGCCCUCAAAGAAAAGUUAUUAGAAGAAUCAACAAAGAUCUUUUAGAAAUUUUGAGGAGGCGGAGAGCGAGUGCCUAGCUUCACAACCUACACAAGCUGUUAGCAGAAACACAACAAGCUUCACAACCUACAUAAGACGUAAGCUUUCAGCCAAUAUGAAUGGUGGAUGGAUAUUAGACUUAUGAAUCAUUCUAUAGUGGUUAUAUCUGGACUUGGAAAGACUUGAUCGGUUCAGUCCAACUUAAUUAUAGUAUUAAGAACCAAAGACAAUGAGUGGCAUCCUUACAAGUAGAGCUAGAAGCAGUACCAUGGGAUAAGGGAAAGUAUGUUUGAAUUUUCAAUAUGUCAGCCUUUUAGAAUGAAUAAUAGCAUGGAGCUCAUAUAGAUGAUUGAAGACCAAGAAGUAUGACAAGUUUUUCAAUUAUCAGAUUUAAAAGAAGACUCCAAGACUUCAUAAUUUUAUACCUGAUCAGAGAGCAGUUUGGCAUAUUCAUUAAUUAGAAAAAUAGCAAGAACAUUUCAUAGAGAUAGGUAUUUGAUUGAUUGUUUUAUUCAUGUAUGGCUAUUGGAUCACCUCAAAUUUGAAUAAUAGAAUAAUUGUUUAGUGUCAAAAAAGAAAUCAAAUAAUGAAAAGGUAAAAAAAAUAUGUUUUUAUAUGUUAAACAAAUUAAGGUAUUUUGUGAUUUCAGUUAGAGAUCAUAUUCUUUAACUUUUGAAUUAUCAAACUAUCUCUAUUUGGCUAAUGGAAAUAGUAUUUUACUUUGCUUUGAUGAUUUAAUUUUUUUUUAAUAUAUCUUGAAUUCAAGAGAAAUUUAAGAAAUAUGGGAUUUGAGGAAAAUAUAUGAAAUAAUUAAAAUAUAUCUUAAGAGAUUUGAGAAUAAAAAGAAUGCUUUUAACUUUCAAAUUCUUAUUUAUUAACAUAUGUUUGCAGAAAAUAAGAAAACAUCUAUGCAAAGAUGAUUUCCCGUCCCCCACAUUCGAUGAGCAUACUCCAAAUUAUAUAAAAAAAAUUAACUAUAAAGUUUUUUUGUCAUCAAAAAUCAUUUUAUUACUCAGCUUGAGAUAGUUUGGAUAGCAAGAUCGGAAUAGAACAACCAACAAAAUAUAAAAUCCUAUGAAAAACUCUUGCAGUUCUAGCUAAAAAUCAGCAAUAACGUUUUGUCUUUUAGAAAUGUAAAAAAAUCUUAAAGCUGUGGAAUCUUUGUUGCCGAGCCUCUAUCACCUUUAGCUCUAUUAAAAUGUUUGGCCAUGUUUUAGGCUCCAGAAUCAUGGCAAUCAAAUUCUUGCAGUUUGUUUCAAAAUUUUGACAUGUAAAAUACCAAAACAUGUUUUCCAUUGUCCAAGAAAGUGGUUCGAGCUCAAAGUGCAAUGAAGACUCUCUUCUUAUCUGAUUAUUUAUGCCCAUUAAUUAGGUUUGUCGUGUCACGUUUUUUUCAGACCCAUUCAUAACCACUAAAUUGUGUUGUAUAAGUUCAAGCACCAUCCACUAAACAUAUGUUUUGCAAGCAUAUGGCUUGUCACACAUUCUGGUUGUUGGGUCUGAGAACAUAUUUCGUUCGCUGCAUACCAAGCAUGAAAUUCCCCUUUCGCAUGUCUGAUUAUUUCUGACGGAUCCAUGUCAAUUGCUCGAAAUAAUUGAUCAUUCCAAACUUUCCAGAAAUAUCAAAUUAUCUACGGAUGUGAAUCUCCAUCUAAUGUCGGAUCUUCAAUAUUGUUUUUCCUCCAUAAAAGGUAAUCCGUAUUUGUGAAGAUAUUUGAAACUCGGGAAAUAUAUGGGUUAGAAGGAGUAGCUGAUAAGGUCCAUGCCUAUAAUGUUGAGGGACACUAAAAAAUGGCAUGAUUAGCAGAUUCAUCUUGUUCUCGAAACCUUAGACAAUAAUUAUCACCUUGCAUAUGACAUAGUGUCAGGUUCUUUGUCACAGCCAUAUGUCUAGUUAUCAACUGUCAUAUAAGAUUAUACAUCCUCUGUGACAUAUGAACUUUCUAAGCAAAGAUUUUAAUUCGGUGAUGCUUGGUUCCGAGUAAAAUAUUAAGGAUGAACAUAUAAAAUAUAUUCUUAAUGUUUGUGUGAAUUGAUUGAAUUCGCAAAUAAAUUUGAAAUUCACAAUUGUUGAAAAACUAUCUCACAAUUGUUGAAAAACUAUCCAAUAAUACUUUUUCUAGUGAUUAAGAGGGAAGUAGGCAACUAAAAGUUUAAGUAAAAUCUUUUAUAUUAAGAAACGGAUUAUUACGGGAGUAGUUAUUUGGGUACACUCUUAUAUGUUUUGCUUCUUGGAUGGAUGAAUACAAAUGCCAUCAAACACCUAUAUUUAUACUAGUGAAAGGUUAAAAUUAUUAUAAAAUAAUCUCUAAACAUUAUAUAUACACAUUUUUAGCAUCCUUUAUAUAUUAAAAGAGAAGCAUUAUAACAUAUUUUUGUACUCAGGUGUCAUCACCACAAUCAUUCUUAGAAUCCUUAUAAAAACAUGUUGGUCCAUAUAAAUAUAUAAUAAGCUUUUUAUUAAACUAACCAUAAAUUAAUUAUGAAUGUUCUUCAUUGUUUCCUUAAAUAGAAAUCACGUAAUUACUUAAUGUGGCUGAAGUAUAUAUGACAAUUAAUGAUUUUGAGUAAUAAAAAUUUGAUAAAAAUUAGUCUAUUCUCUAUCAUUUUUUAAAAUUUUUAACUUAUUAAAAUAAAUUAAACAACCACAUUAACUAUAUAAUAAAAAUUUAGAUUUUUUCAUAUAAGUUAUAUUUUGAAUUUUUAAAAACGACUAUAAAUGACUAAAGUUGUUAAAAAUCUCACAUUAAAAAUUUUGUGAUCCAUAGUUUAAAAUUUCUGGUAUAACAAGAUACAAUUGAUUAGGAAAUUACAUAAAUAGGAAGUCUCAUUUAAUAAAUAUUAUGUAUAUAUGUAUAUUAAUAUUUUUUUAAAAUAAAUUAUAUACCAUAUAAAAUACAUAAGUAUUUUAAUUUCGAAAUUUGCUUUGAAUUUUUUUGAAAAACAUUUUGAACAAAUAUUGACAACUUAAUAUUUAGAUUUUUAACUUUGCAUUGAAUGAUGUUUAAAAUUAUAAAUUACUAAAACUAUUAAACAUCCCAAAAAUUGUUUAUUGUUAUCAGUGAUUUAAAAAAUUUGUUAUAAAGAAAUACAAAUGAUCAAAAAUAAUAUGAGUAUAAAAUUUUUUAUAACAAAUGUCAAUAUUAAAAAUGUAUUAUAUGACGACUAUAAAUGACUAAAGUUGUUAAAAAUCUCACAUUAAAAAUUUUGUGAUCCAUAGUUUAAAAUUUCUGGUAUAACAAGAUACAAUUGAUUAGGAAAUUACAUAAAUAGGAAGUCUCAUUUAAUAAAUAUUAUGUAUAUAUGUAUAUUAAUAUUUUUUUAAAAUAAAUUAUAUACCAUAUAAAAUACAUAAGUAUUUUAAUUUCGAAAUUUGCUUUGAAUUUUUUUGAAAAACAUUUUGAACAAAUAUUGACAACUUAAUAUUUAGAUUUUUAACUUUGCAUUGAAUGAUGUUUAAAAUUAUAAAUUACUAAAACUAUUAAACAUCCCAAAAAUUGUUUAUUGUUAUCAGUGAUUUAAAAAAUUUGUUAUAAAGAAAUACAAAUGAUCAAAAAUAAUAUGAGUAUAAAAUUUUUUAUAACAAAUGUCAAUAUUAAAAAUGUAUUAUAUGUCUAUGUUAAUAUCAUUUAAACUUAAUUUUAUACUAUAUAAAAUAGAAAAAGGUGUUUGUCUAGACUAAUAAAAUUUAUUUAUGUAUUGACACCAAUUUAAUUAUAUAUGUAAUAGUUACUAAAAUUUUAAUUAUUCAAUAUAUAUAUUUAUUAUUUAAUAAUAUGUAAAAAACAUAUAAUACAUAAAAAUAAUUUAUAUAUAAUAUUCAUUCCGCGCAAGUCAAGGCGCAGAUCUUAACCUAGUUUCUAGAUUAUUUUGCAAGUCUAUUUGUCUAGAUAAUAUGUAUUAGUAUGAUAGCAUCCCCUUUGUCUUAAUAUUUAUGAUGAUAAUUCAUCUUCACAGCUCCACUUCAUAACUUUAAAGUUUUCUUCAACAUCUUUUUGGGUUUUUAAUUUGGGCCAUAGGUUAUAUAGGUAAACCAUGCCCAUCGCUUUACUUUGCUUGAUUUUUUUGAGUCGUAUGUGGCUUUGCUCAUCCCUAUUGGCUUCAGAACCUUUGAUAAUAAGAGAAUCUAUCUCUCUUCUUAAUUACGAGUUGCGUUGUAAUGCCAAUUGACAUGCCCUCUAUGUUGAAGUGCAUAUAAUAUAAGUUCGGUGCAACUACUCGAGUAUUGGAGACUGACCCAUGCUCGCACCACCAGGCCACGAGUAGUUAUUAGAUUAAACAUCCCUUUCGGAUGAUUCGUAAUCUAAGGUGGUUAGGCUAUCUCCUUUCUAUUUUGGCUUUAUUAAGAGUUUGAUUUGGUGGAAACCCUUUGCAUGUAAGCAAAAUAUUCAUGGAACUUGAAAGCAAUAAUAUAUCAAAGUUGUGCAGGUAGAUUGUAUACUUUAUUAUUAUUUAUUAAUGUUUUGGCUCAAUAUGCUUUAUUAAUUAGAUCAUCUUUUUAUGUAUUUACUUUAUGAAAGGUCAAGUAAACAACUCUUUUUUUAACAACUUCAAGUAAACAACUCAAACAACAAAAGCAAAUACAUAAAUAACUUAAAUUAAGAAAAUUAAAACAAUUUUACUUUUUCAGUGAGGUCUCUGUCUUCCAUUUGCAUAUAUAUAAAAACCACCACCAAACCAGAUCCCAUUUUAUUAUAUGAAAAAAUAAGGAAGAGAAAAAUGGGUUGUCGUCAAUUAUCGAUGAUAGUUUUAUUCCUUUGGGUGUUCCAGUUUGCGGACAAGACCGUCGUAAGCUCGGCCGUAGAAGAGAAAGGAACGGUGUUUGUGUACGGCAGAGCGGCCGUGGGAACAGUAGACGAAGACUUCAUCUGCGCCACUUUGGAUUGGUGGCCACCUCAGAAAUGUGACUACGGAACUUGUGCUUGGGACCAUGCUUCGAUUCUUAACCUGGUUUUCUUCUUCCUCUCUUUUACAUUUUUGCCGUUUUUGUUUCUGUCGAAAACAAUGCAACUUGUGUAUUUUUAAAAAGAAAAAGAAAAAGAAAAACACUUCACGUGUAUUAUAAGUCGGUGUAGCAGGCUUUUUGUUGAAAAUCUUUACUUUCUGUUGAAAAUCUUUUACCAGGAAAUAAAACAGUAGAAGUUUAUUUUUAUUUUAUUUUAGUAGAGGUUCACUCUGUUGUAUGUUGAGUUAGUAUAGCUUUUUUGAGCUAGUAUAGCUUUAAGAGGUGGAUUUGCAGUUUUUUCAUGUUUUAAUUUUGGGAUGUUGGGUGAUUAACCCUUCUGGCUUUAUCUCUGGAAAUCAUAUAUCUGCCGACUAUUAGCUAAGAUCUUGAUGUGGUCUCUUUUCUGUUGUUUGAGACAAUUUUUUGUUUGUUUGUUUGUUUGUUUGUUUCUUUUAGAAAUGGAAUUAAUAAAAUAGAAAAGAACAUUGUAGAUAAUAUAAAACUCCAUUUAUUACUCUUUUUACCAUUUAUGGAACGUGAAGUCAAAUAUCAUUAUGUACCAAGAUCCAAAUCCAAUGCCAUUUUAGUAAAAUGAAGCGUACUUUAACUUGGAUAUAUGUUGAUCUUUCUUGCAGGACCUGAAUAACACUAUUUUUCAGAAUGCAAUCAGAGGUAUGUAACCAUAUCAUAUUCCUGAUAAUUCUAAAUCUUAAUGUUCAAAAUUUGACAUUUUUCAAUUUCAAAAAAAUAUACAGAAUUUGCUCCAUUGAAAAUAAGAAUAGGAGGAACAUUACAAGACUUGGUGAUAUAUGAGACACCAGAUCAGAAACAGCCUUGUCUUCCUUUCACCCAAAACACUUCCCUUCUCUUUGGCUACACACAAGGAUGUCUGCCCAUGCGCCGAUGGAACCAGCUUAAUGACUUCUUUAGCAAAACCGGGUAACCUUUUGAAUUAUCUUCUUUCUUUCAACUAUGUUUCCAUCCUCUCCUACAUUCUUGUGUGGUUUGAAUCAGAGCUAAAGUCAUCUUCGGGCUGAAUGCACUCUCUGGUCGGAGCAUACAAUCUAAUGGCGAAGCCGUCGGAGCCUGGGAUUACACCAAUGCUGAAUCAUUCAUCCGAUAUAUAGUACAGAACAACCACACGGUCGAUGGUUGGGAGCUCGGUAAGUCACCUGACAUAACAAUAUGCAAAUAUCUUUACAUUCUCUAAUCUUUUUUUUAAUUUUCCUCAAUAGGAAAUGAGCUGUGUGGAAGUGGUGUUGGUACAAGAGUUGCAGCAAGUCAGUAUGCUACGGACACCAUAGCUCUGCGAAACAUUGUGAACCGGGUUUAUAGGGAUGGGAGUCCCAUGCCACUGGUGAUAGGUCCUGGUGGUUUCUUUGACGCUGCUUGGUUCACAGAAUACUUGAACAAAGCUGAAAAUUCUCUCAAUGCAACUACUCGUCACAUCUACAAUCUCGGUCCAGGUAAAGGUUUCGCAUCAUCAAGCAGCUUCUUCAGUGCCCCCUUAUUAUCACCUAAAUGGAAGAGAAAACAAAACUACAUUUUUGAUGCAUUAGGGGUGGACCAGCAUCUGAUAGAAAAGAUUCUAAACCCUUCGUACCUGGACCAAGAGGCAAUAACGUUUCGCAGCCUAAAGAACAUAAUCAACAACUCCUCAACAAAGGCUGUGGCAUGGGUUGGUGAGGCUGGUGGCGCUUACAAUAGCGGUCGUAAUCUUGUCUCUAAUGCUUUCGUUUAUAGUUUCUGGUAAGAAAAGGACAUCAUACCAGAAGAAGAAUAUAGACAUAUUAGCUUGACUUUUACUCAAAAAUGAUAAUAUAUUGCACGAUGGUAGGUACCUGGACCAGCUUGGUAUGGCAUCAGUUUAUGAUACAAAAACUUAUUGUAGACAGUCUCUGAUCGGAGGAAACUAUGGCCUGCUAAAUACUACUAAUUUCACUCCUAACCCUGACUAUUACAGGUAACUAAUAUAAGAUGAAACCUGUGAACAAAUUUUAAAAUUUUAACCAAGUGAUGCUACUUGUCAAAUUGCAGUGCUCUGAUCUGGCGACGACUUAUGGGAAGAAAGGCAUUGUUCACAAGCUUUUCCGGAACCAAAAAGAUACGUUCAUACACCCAUUGUGCAAGACAAUCGGUAAGUCAUAGUUUCCAUACUUGUAACUCAGAAAAAACGCAUUAUUUCUUCUGAUGUAACAAUAAAAGUUUUAAUCAUGCAGAAAGGGAUCACAGUUUUACUGAUGAACCUUGACAACACUACAACAGUUGUGGCGAACGUAGAGCUAAAUAACACUUACAAACUAAGACACAGGAAGACGUCUCAGAAAAUAGCAAGGACUUCCCAGAUGCCUUGGGUCUCUGAUGGUGAAACCCAAAGAGAAGAGUACCAUUUGACAGCAAAGGACGGAAAUUUACACAGCCAGACUAUGCUACUCAACGGUCAUGCACUGCAGGUUAACUCGAUAGGUGACAUACCUCCACUGGAACCGAUACAUGUAAACUCAACAGAUCCAAUAACAAUAGCUCCAUAUUCUAUUGUGUUUGUGCAUAUGCCCAACGUUGUUGUACCUGCAUGUGCUUAGGGGAGCUGCUGCAUGUUGGACUUUUAUGACAGCUCCAUUCAAUUUUUUGAUUAGAAAAAGAAGUGUACCUAUCUUUCAGAACAAACUUUAUAGACCAAAUAAAUGCAAUGAAAUAAUUUCCAAACACUUCUUUUUCAAAAAUUUAUUUCUGGUUUAACAGUUUCAAACUGGUUGGGACUGUACAGACGGUCCCACUAGAGAGUUAGAACGAAGCUACAAGAAAAGCUUCUUCUAGUCACCAAAGCCACAGCGACUUCUCCCCAUGUAAAAUUAAUUGUGUUCUUCUUUGGAACGAACAUUAAUGAGGUUGUUAGGAGAAGUAACUCUCUUAACUAAUAUUCUUCAUUGCUAGAAAGCAUCAAAGAGCGUUAUACAACAGAUAGGUUAUCCAUAGAUAAAUUAUAAACCUUUUUGAGCCUUUUAGAAGCUAUUUACGUCAGUGCUUUUAUGUUUGCAUGUUAAGGAAAAAACACAGGAAAAUAGCAAAGGUAACCAUACUAAUGCAUUUUGAUGUUCACUUGCUUGAAUACAUUCAAGCGUAAAUCUCUGAGCACAUCACUGGCUCUACAACUGUCGACAGUUUAACUAACAAUGUUACAGGCAAGUGUAUACGUUUUAGCCAGUUUAUGUGUUAUUAAGUUCAUGGAUGAAUAAGCACAAACAAAUAUUAGAAGCAUAUAAGUAAUCAAGAUCUGGUUUAGGUAGUAAAGAAAAAGAGCAAAGAGUUGGACGAAUAUCUUCGCCUAUACUUAGUAAGCAAAUCAACUGGCAAUCCAGUCAACCACGACACUCUUGAUAUAAUGCUUCUUCAGCUUUCUCCGUCUAAUGUUCUUUCCCCUGCAUUCAUGCGCAAUUUUGUUUUCACUUAGCUCUGCAGUUACUACUUUAAGCGUUAGUAAAUAAGCGAACUAGCAAACUCACCAGUACUGGUUGUAUAGCACAAACUCAUCUGUUGCUACUUUCUUCCCAUCAUCAUUGCGGUUCCAGUGGUAUAUCGCAUGUGUUCGGUUUUUUAUGUCCAGAGUGGAGUGUCCGUAGCUAGCUUCUCUAAAUGCAGAAUAAUCUGGCUGUGGUUCCAUAAACCUGAUACCAAAAGAGGAUCAGCUUUCAGCGGCUCAAAUCUUAGUCUUAGCUCUAGGUUUACUGUAGUUUUGAUGAACUGGAAUAAGAAUAGCUUUGUCCUUAUCAAAUUCCAAGGCUCAUUGUUAGAUUUGUUAAUGUCACUCACCUUCCCGCAAGACCUUCUUGAUUUCCUCCGUCUCCAACUGUGAUAUAAACAGGAGCUGACGUAUCUGGAACUGGGAAGCGGUCUCCACUUGACACAUUAUACCGUACAUUUGAUACUCGGUACUGAUGAUUUAAAACAAACAAAGAUUUUACAAUGAAGCAUACACAAAAAAAAAAAAUCUAUGGAGAGUUUUUAAGUUAAAUGAAGUUUAUGUUACCGAUCUCUCGUAGGCAUGAACAUGUCCAGCAAAGACUACAUCAACUCUGUAUUCGACAAACCAUUCCUCAAAAGCUGCUCGCAUGCUUUCACCCUCCUUGAAGUGUGCUUCAUUACUGUUGUAAAUCGGGGAAUGCAUCAGAACAAUUAGCCAAGGAGUUUUCUCCCUGUCAACUCUUUUGAACUCUUCAUCAAGCCAUCUCCAUUGAGGGGUAUACUUCACUGCACAACAAUCACAUCUACUCAGUGGUAUAAACCAACCUUUUAUGUAUAAGACAAGUGUUAGAAGCAGAGGAUGAUGUUUAUUACCAAAAGGAGAAUAACUGGAGAGGACAAUGAUAUGAGCGGAGGCACGCCUAACGGAAUACCAGAGAGGAUUGCUACUUUUUGAAGCCAAGUAUGGCGUAGUGUAACGCUCAAGGUAAUUCUUGAAAGGUGUCACUUCCCCCUGUAAAAAAAAAGACACAAGCCAAAACCUGAAUAGAGUGACAAGUUACAACAAAGUAAGAUGAGUCUCAAGAUAUAUGUUACCAUGUAUGGCAUGUAAUCGACUUCGUGGUUGCCUGCAGACCAGAGCCAGGGCUGAUAAGCGGUACUGGGCUCCACGAAACGGCCCCAAGUAUCCCAUCUGACACCAACAUCGUUAUAUUGAUAUCUGUCAGCGUAAGAGAGAUCUCCAAGGAAUAAGACAGCUUGAGCUCCACUCCGCAUGUAGUGUUCCAGUGUGGACAAGGAGUUGAAUGUUUGUCCCAGGUCGCCUAACAAUGAAAUCUUAUAAGAAAGAGCAGCAGUAGCAGAAGAACCAGUUGAGAGAGUGACAUACCUAUGAUACCAAACUUGUAAGAUGCAUCUGGAUGUACAUGUGGUGGUGUAACGAACCAAAACUCCCUAGAAGAUUCACCACUUUCAAUCUUGUAAUAGUACUUUGUAUUAUACUGCAAUAUUAACCCCCAAUAAUUUGCAUGUGAUAUAUAAACUAAGAUCAAAUAAAAAUAUGCAGUUCCAUGUCCACAAUUUGCCACCAAUGAAACAGAAACAUGUGGGUACUGUUGUUACCUCAAGGCCAGAGACUAGGCAGUGAUGGGUGUAGCCAGACUUGUAUUUGUAGAAAGUGUAGUUAGAGUAAGUGCCUUUAGCCACAAAGUCGUAUUCGCCCUGGACGGCGCCGUAAUGGACCGUGCUGGAGCCAGGCUCAUCAGGAGUCACCCAAGAGAUGAUAACAGCCUUUCCAUC
rnacentral:lncRNA from 1 species